GAUGAAGAACGUAGCGAAAUGCGAUAAGUAAUGUGAAUUGCAGAAUUCAGUGAAUCAUCGAAUCUUUGAACGCACAUUGCGCCCUCUGGUAUUCCGGGGGGCAUGCCUGUUCGAGCGUCAUUAUAACCACUCAAGCUCUCGCUUGGUAUUGGGGUUCGCGGUUCCGCAGCCCCUAAAAUCAGUGGCGGUGCCUGUCGGCUCUACGCGUAGUAAUACUCCUCGCGAUUGAGUCCGGUAGGUCUACUUGCCAGCAACCCCCAAUUUUUACAGGUUGACCUCGGAUCAGGUAGGGAUACCCGCUGAACUUAAGCAUAUCAAUAAGCGGAGGA
rnacentral:misc_RNA from 1 species